AACCAGCCCAGAUUCAAUGCCAACGUAUUUUCCAAUUGGGAGAGUAUUAUAAGAAUAUGUACAUAACUCCCAGCAUUUGAAUUUUCUUUGCAUGCAAAUAUACAUCAAAUUCUCAGCAAAAUCAGCACUACAUCCAAAUUCCAAGAAAAUUCAGCAUUAAAAGAAUGUCCUGAGAUGCGAGAGUGUGCAUGCAUGCCUAGAUCAUGCAUGCCUUGCUUUCUUCUGACUCCUUCGUCAUAGUGCUCGCGACGAAACAUGAAUGAAGGCCAUCAUCUGAAUGUUAUAAAAUAGAAUUAUUAGAAACAAAAGAAAAGCACAUCUGACAACAUGUUAAGUUGUAUGCGGUCUGUACACAAAUAAAAAUAGAAGAACAAAAACGAUGCAUAGUUAUCGGUGAUACUAGUGAUUGCGAACAAUCUGUAAAUACAUUAUAUUGGUGACAAACAUCAUCAUAAAGAUAACAAUGGGGAUACGUGUAUGCCCAAAAUGAGCAAGUUAUUUUGUAUUUGAGUAACGGAAAAUAGUUCAACAUUGCAAACCUUGUUGUUCUACAACGUUUGGAAUUAAUUUGUUCAUUAGAAUGUUCAGUUUCUCCAUAUAACGUGGGUUUAUUUUCAGAUAAACUGACGCAAGUAUUUUUCUAGUAAUUGUAGUUGAAAUCAAUCGCAUGUUCCAAAAUGUUGUUAGGCUACAAUAAGACGGAGAAAUCAACAGAAUGGAAUAAAUUAUGGGGACCAACUCAUAUAACACAAAUUAGUUAAAAACUUUAAAAUGCUACAUAUAUGGGAUUCUGCUGCUCCUUUUCACCACUACAGGUGACUAGCAAUGUUGGCAGUUGGUGGGGCAAAUUAUUUAUUUUUUCAGCGGUCGUUUAAGAAUUUUUUGCAGUUUUCAAUCAAAAUAUUUAAGACUUUCUGAGAUUGCAUUGAUGUUUGCUAUGCCUGGAGCUACAAGAAACAAUGGAUGAAUGGAAAGAAUGGACCUGCAAAGUAGUAUCUAGAAUGUGUGUGCACUAUGAACUGAUAGGUAGACUUGUGGCUGCUCAUAAAGUGAUGCCCCCAAUGUUCAGACACCUGACAGUAAGCAGCUAUUUAAUAUGAAGAUGCAAAUAUACAGGUUACUCCGUCAAAUUACACACCUCAGGUUCAGGAAACAUACUUGCCUAAUAAGGUGGAUUUCAACCAGUUUUUGUCAAUCUAAUAAAGCUCGCAUGGUAAUCACAAUUGUGACAGAC
rnacentral:lncRNA from 1 species